rnacentral:rRNA from 1 species
GACAGAGGGUGCGAGCGUUGUUCGGAAUUACUGGGCGUAAAGCGCGUGUAGGCGGCAGCGCAAGUCGGGCGUGAAAUCCCACGGCUCAACCGUGGAAGUGCACUCGAAACUGCGCAGCUAGAGUCCUGGAGAGGAAGGUGGAAUGCUUGGUGUAGAGGUGAAAUUCGUAGAUAUCAAGCGGAACACCGGUGGCGAAGGCGACCUUCUGGACAGUGACUGACGCUGAGACGCGAAAGCGUGGGGAGCAAACAGG